ACACUGCUGAGGAGUCCCACAAUAGGACGAAACAGCCGGUCCAGUGC
rnacentral:hammerhead_ribozyme from 1 species